UCCUUGUCGGGUAAGUUCCGACCUGCACGAAUGGCGUAACGAUGGCGGCGCUGUCUCCACCCGAGACUCAGUGAAAUUGAAAUCGCCGUGAAGAUGCGGUGUAUCCGCGGCUAGACGGAAAGACCCCGUGAACCUUUACUAUAGCUUCACAGUGAACUUUGAGCAUGUUUGUGUAGGAUAGCUGGGAGGCUUUGAAGUGGGAACGCCAGUUCUCAUGGAGCCAACCUUGAAAUACCAGCCUGACAUGUUUGAGGUUCUAACUUCGUCCCCUUAUCGGGGAUAAGGACACUGUGUGGUGGGUAGUUUGACUGGGGCGGUCUCCUCCCAAAGCGUAACGGAGGAGCACAAAGGUGGGCUAAG
rnacentral:rRNA from 1 species